rnacentral:rRNA from 1 species
ACGCUCGACACCUACGGGAAGCAGCAGUGAGGAAUAUUGGUCAAUGGGCGCAGGCCUGAACCAGCCAAGUAGCGUGAAGGAUGACUGCCCUAUGGGUUGUAAACUUCUUUUAUAUGGGAAUAAAGUUUUCCACGUGUGGAAUUUUGUAUGUACCAUAUGAAUAAGGAUCGGCUAACUCCGUGCCAGCACGCCGAGUACGUAUGNGGCGGCGGGCGUACGGACGACG